UACGUAGGGAGCAAGCGUUGUUCGGAUUUAGUCGUGGGCGUAAAGGGCGUCGUAGGCGGCGCGGUAAGUCACUUGUGAAAUCUCUGAGCUUAACUACAGAACGGCCAAGUGAGUACUGCAGUGCGUAGAGUGCAGGAAGGGGCAAUCGGGAAUUCUUGGAUGUAGCGGUGAAAUGACGUAGAUAUCAAGAGGAACACCUGAGGUGAAGACGGGUUGCUAGGCUGACACUGACGCUGAGGCGCGAAAGCCAGGGGAGCAAACGGG
rnacentral:rRNA from 1 species